AGCCGAGCUGCCCUCAGAAACCCUGGCCCCAGUCUUCAAAGGGAUCUCACUUGGAGACGGGGAGAGCUGCCCGCGUUCCCAGUUCCCACCUGGUAACAAAGAGCAGCCAGUCCUUCAUUUAAAAUGCUCUGGCGAGGCACAAGGCCGGACUCCUUCAGAGGAUGCAAGUCUGGACUUGAGCCCCCCAGCUGAGCUGGUCCUGCUUGAUUUGGAAGGUGAGUUGAGAGAAAGGAAGACUCUGGAAAAGGAACUUGUAUAAUCACAGCUUGUUGCUGCUGGGACAGGGCACAAAAAGGGAGUGACAAACUGCUCGCAAGGUUUCCCUUUAAAAAGUUCAGUUUGUUUUUUAACUCUUACUUUUUCCCUGAAGACUGGUUGCUCUAGGUAAGAAUACACAUGUGUCUUUAGAUGAAAAGCCUUGUGACUGAAAAUCAGCCACUGAUUAUCUCUAUAUAAUUGAUGCUUCAGUCAGUAAGUGAAUGCUUGAGGAAUAAGGAUGCCUUGAAGAAGCCCUGUGUCUCUCAGGCAGCCCUUAACCUCAAUGGAUUAGAAACAAAACAGA